GGAUUGGGAGGGUUCUACGGAACCCGUUUGGUGAAUCUAGUGCCGAGAAAAGCCUUCUAUGUGUUGAAUUUCUAGUACCCGUACCCCAAACCGACACAGGUGGGUGGGUAGAGCAUACCUAGGGGCGCGUGAUAACUCUCUCUAAGGAACUCGGCAAAAUGGCCCUGUAACUUCGGGAUAAGGGGUGCCUGCGUGAGCAGGCCGCAGUGAAAUGGCUCUGGCGACUGUUUAUCAAAAACACAGGUCUCUGCUAAGUCGUAAGACGAUGUAUAGGGGCUGACUCCUGCCCAGUGCCGGAAGGUUAAGGAAGUUGGUUAGCGCAAGCGAAGCUGGCGACCGAAGCCCCGGUGAACGGCGGCCGUAACUAUAACGGUCCUAAGGUAGCGAAAUUCCUUGUCGGGUAAGUUCCGACCCGCACGAAAGGAGUAACGAUCAGAGCGCUGUCUCGGAGAGAGACACGGCGAAAUAGGAUUGUCCGUGAAGAUACGGACUACCUGCACCCGGACAGAAAGACCCUAUGAAGCUUUACUGUAACUUGGAAUUGUGUUCGGACUUUGUCUGCGCAGAAUAGGUGGGAGGCUAUGAAACGUUCCUCGCGGGGAACUGGAGCCAUCGUUGAGAUACCACUCUGGCAGAGUCUGGAUUCUAACCUACGGGGACAGUUCCAGGUGGGCAGUUUGACUGGGGCGGUCGCCUCCUAAAAUGUAACGGAGGCGCGCAAAGGUUCCCUCAGGCUGGUUGGAAAUCAGCCAUAGAGUGUAAAAGCAUAAGGGAGCUUGACUGUGAGACCUACAAGUCGAGCAGGGACGAAAGUCGGCUUUAGUGAUCCGACGGCACUGAGUGGAAGGGCCGUCGCUCAACGGAUAAAAGUUACUCUAGGAUAACAGGCUGAUCUCCCCCAAGAGUUCACAUCGACGGGGAGGUUUGGCACCUCGAUGUCGGCUCGUCGCAACCUGGGGCGGUAGUACGUCCCAAGGGUUGGGCUGUUCGCCCAUUAAAGCGGCACGUGAGCUGGGUUCAGAACGUCGUGAGACAGUUCGGUCCAUAUCCGGUGUAGGCGUAGGAGCAUUGAAAGGAUCUCUCCUUAGUACGAGAGGACCGGGAGGGACGUACCUCUGGUGUACCUGUUAUCGUGCCAACGGUAAACGCAGGGUAGCCAUGUACGGAGUGGAUAACCGCUGAAAGCAUCUAAGUGGGAAGCCCACCUUAAGAUGAGUGCUCCCUUGAGGCCACGGGAAGACGACCCGUUUGAUAGGCGCUAGGUGGUAGUGCAGUAAUGCAUGCAGCCGAGGCGUACUAAUAGGCCGAUGGC
rnacentral:rRNA from 1 species